rnacentral:rRNA from 1 species
UGGGGAAUAUUGCACAAUGGGCGCAAGCCUGAUGCAGCCAUGCCGCGUGUAUGAAGAAGGCCUUCGGGUUGUAAAGUACUUUCAGCGGGGAGGAAGGGAGUAAAGUUAAUACCUUUGCUCAUUGACGUUACCCGCAGAAGAAGCACCGGCUAACUCCGUGCCAGCAGCCGCGGUAAUACGGAGGGUGCAAGCUUUAAUCGGAAUUACUGGGCGUAAAGCGCACGCAGGCGGUUUGUUAAGUCAGAUGUGAAAUCCCCGGGCUCAACCUGGGAACUGCAUCUGAUACUGGCAAGCUUGAGUCUCAUAGAGGGGGGUAGAAUUCCAGGUGUGGCGGUGAAAUGCGUAGAGAUCUGGAGGAAUACCGGUGGCGAAGGCGGCCCCCUGGACGAAGACUGACGCUCAGGUGCGAAAGCGUGGGGAGCAAACAGG